AGUGGGGAAUAUUGGACAAUGGGCGAAAGCCUGAUCCAGCAAUGCCGCGUGUGUGAAGAAGGCCUUCGGGUUGUAAAGCACUUUUAUCAGGAACGAAAUCGGCAAGGUUAAUAACCGUGUCGUCUGACGGUACCUGAGGAAUAAGCACCGGCUAACUUCGUGCCAGCAGCCGCGGUAAUACGAAGGGUGCAAGCGUUAAUCGGAAUUACUGGGCGUAAAGGGUGCGUAGGCGGUUAGUUAAGUCUGUUGUGAAAUCCCCGGGCUCAACCUGGGAAUGGCAAUGGAUACUGGCUGGCUAGAGUGUGUCAGAGGAUGGUGGAAUUCCCGGUGUAGCGGUGAAAUGCGUAGAGAUCGGGAGGAACAUCAGUGGCGAAGGCGGCCAUCUGGGACAACACUGACGCUGAAGCACGAAAGCGUGGGGAGCAAA
rnacentral:rRNA from 1 species